GACGAACGCUGGCGGCGUGCUUAACACAUGCAAGUCGAACGAAGUGGCGAACGGGUGAGUAACGCGUAAUCAACCUGCCCUUCAGAGGGGGCCACCAGUUGGAACCGACUGCUAAUCCCGCAUACGGAAGGAGGGGAUUGCGUCUGAUUAGCUAGUUGGAGGGGUAACGGCCCACCAAGGCGAUGAUCAGUAGCCGUGCUGAGAGGAGGAACGGCCACAUUGGGACAGAGACACGGCCCAGAUUCCUACGGGAGGCAGCAGUGGGGAAUCUUACGCAAUGGACGAAAGUCUGACGGAGCAACGCCGCGUGAGUGAUGACGGCCUUCGGGUUGUAAAGCUCUUUUAAUCGGGACGCGGUAACGGAAGAGAAAGCCACGGCUAACUACGUGCCAGCAGCCGCGGUAAUUC
rnacentral:rRNA from 1 species